AAGAUGACAAAUUAUAUUCUGAAGCAAUUCAAAUCGCAGGACAUUGAUGUACCUUGAUUGCAAUUUGUGCUUUGUUCUAUGUGACCUGGAAUAAAUGUAGGAGUAGGAAUAUCAGUCUCGCAGCAAUCCAGAAACAAAAAAGUUGCAAGCUUUAUGUUUUUGAUCUCAAAGCGAGACCAGUUUCCACUUUCUUAAUUUCAAAGAUUAGCAUCCUCCACAUCUUCAGCACAAACAUUUCAGCUUCAUCAUCCAAUAUUGACUGAAGCAUCUCCAGCACUUGGGAUGCCUUCACAUGUUCUCGGG
rnacentral:misc_RNA from 1 species